rnacentral:rRNA from 1 species
CCUGCAGUGGGUACGGGCAGACUAGAGUGCGGUAGGGGAGAUUGGAAUUCCUGGUGUAGCGGUGGAAUGCGCAGAUAUCAGGAGGAACACCGAUGGCGAAGGCAGAUCUCUGGGCCGUAACUGACGCUGAGGAGCGAAAGCAUGGGGAGCGAACAGGAUUAGAUACCCUGGUAGUCCAUGCCGUAAACGUUGGGAACUAGAUGUAGGGGCCAUUCCACGGUUUCUGUGUCGCAGCUAACGCAUUAAGUUCCCCGCCUGGGGAGUACGGCCGCAAGGCUAAAACUCAAAGGAAUUGACGGGGGCCCGCACAAGCGGCGGAGCAUGCGGAUUAAUUCGAUGCAACGCGAAGAACCUUACCAAGGCUUGACAUAUACCGGAAACGUCCAGAGAUGGUCGCCCCGCAAGGUCGGUAUACAGGUGGUGCAUGGUUGUCGUCAGCUCGUGUCGUGAGAUGUUGGGUUAAGUCCCGCAACGAGCGCAACCCUCGUUCUAUGUUGCCAGCACGUUAUGGUGGGAACUCAUAGGAGACUGCCGGGGUCAACUCGGAGGAAGGUGGGGAUGACGUCAAAUCAUCAUGCCCCUUAUGUCUUGGGCUUCACGCAUGCUACAAUGGCCGAUACAAAGGGAUGCAAUACCGUAAGGUGGAGCGAAUCCCAAAAAGUCGGUCUCAGUUCGGAUUGAGGUCUGCAACUCGACCUCAUGAAGUCGGAGUCGCUAGUAAUCGCAGAUCAGCAACGCUGCGGUGAAUACGUUCCCGGGCCUUGUACAC